AAGAAAACGUCGAUAAGGAUAAGUAAUAGAGUCUUUGAGCAAAGAGAGAUAACGGCUGGUGUGAGUUAUUGUCAAAGCUUUAUGAAAUCAACCUUGGAGUGAAGUAGUGAAUAAAGUAGUUACUUCCGGUAGUACCGUUAUCACUUGAGAGGAUUCAUAGUGUGAUGCUAUGAAUUAAAAAAGGGUGGCAACACGAGGUAUCGUCCCUUUC
rnacentral:ncRNA from 1 species